UACAGAGGGUGCGAGCGUUGUCCGGAAUCACUGGGCGUAAAGGGUGCGUAGGUGGUCGGGUAAGUCUGAUGUGAAAUCUUCGAGCUCAACUCGAAAAUGGCAUUGGAUACUAUUCGGCUGGAGGGUUGGAAGGGGGACUGGAAUUCUCGGUGUAGCAGUGAAAUGCGUAGAUAUCAGGAGGAACACCGGUGGCGAAGGCGGGUCUCUGGGCCGAUACUGACGCUGAGGAGCGAAAGCGUGGGGAGCGAACAGG
rnacentral:rRNA from 1 species